GUAGUAGGCGAAAUUGCAGAGUAUACUCUGAGUAUAUAAUAUACCCUGAGAUAUGUAAUCGAAAAUUGAAAUAAAAUCACUGGAAAAAUAUUCCAAGAAUUGACCGACAUUCGACGUGAGAAAAUACGUUUCGUGGAAACACCCAUGUACUUGAAGGGUGUCAGGAUGUAAGGGCGUGAGCUUUACCAGACGUACGCAAUUGAUCCGAGAAAUUGAACAAAUUUUCCGUCAGUUAGAACAUCAGGUACAAUGAUUAUCGGUAUGCGCACAGGUUCAAUACGCAACGCGGGAAUAUGUAUUGAACAUAUCUCUACUGAAACUACCGACGGUAUUAGCUGUCGAAAACUGUUGGAACAACGGCAUUGGGCGAGUCCCGGCUUACCGACUAUAAAAGCUCUCCUGUAUAUCUUAGAGCACGUCAAACGCUGUUGGUACACGAUACCGUUAAAAACUCAAUCCUGUGAAACAAAAAGUACAAUUACUAUGUCCCAUUAUACGUGUCACCAGAUAAUGGAAAAUGUCAAACAUCGUCGCCGCUAUUCGUGAUAACGAGAAAUAAAUUUUUCAUUCCUAAAUCCCAAGCAUUUCUUCUUCAGCAAUAUUUUAAAAUAAUUUUUCAUUGAUUGUCAACGCUGUGAAGUGCAAGUGACGAGAAUGCUAAGAAUUCCCUGUAAAUGUAAUGAAGUGAAAAAAAAUCGUGAAACGUCUAAAUGGAAAGCUGUUCCCAGGGCGUAAUUAAUUAUUUAUACAAAGGAUGAUUCUGGCGAGUUUGUUCAUUAUGAUUACCCUAAUGAAUUUGGCAAACUCUAUGUAUAACCACAAGAGGAUGGCGGAUGAAAUGCUUCUGGAAAUUUCUUACGUUGCGACAACUUGGGAAUCCCAUCAGUAUGAUGGUAACUGCCCAAAAAUUACUGAGACACAAGUCCCACCAGACCUACGUGCUCAUUACGCUAAUGGCCGAAGGAAGAGAAUCGGCUCGCUCUCAAUCACGAAUCCCAUGGAUGUGCUCAAACAACGAUUUCUUUUACUAUUGGCACGUAGACAACAAAUGCAG